UACCUCAAAAAACCACAACAGUCUGUUUCAUCCGUAUAGGAAUCAUGAUUCCUGAUGAUUCCUAUACGGAUGAAACAGACUGUUGUGGUUUUU